AGUGAACGCUGGCGGUAGGCCUAACACAUGCAAGUCGAACGGCAGCACAGUAAGAGCUUGCUCUUACGGGUGGCGAGUGGCGGACGGGUGAGGAAUACAUCGGAAUCUACUUUUUCGUGGGGGAUAACGUAGGGAAACUUACGCUAAUACCGCAUACGACCUACGGGUGAAAGCAGGGGAUCUUCGGACCUUGCGCGAUUGAAUGAGCCGAUGUCGGAUUAGCUAGUUGGCGGGGUAAAGGCCCACCAAGGCGACGAUCCGUAGCUGGUCUGAGAGGAUGAUCAGCCACACUGGAACUGAGACACGGUCCAGACUCCUACGGGAGGCAGCAGUGGGGAAUAUUGGACAAUGGGCGCAAGCCUGAUCCAGCCAUACCUCGUGGGUGAAGAAGGCCUUCGGGCUGUAAAGCCCUUUUGUUGGGAAAGAAAAGCAGCAGGUUAAUACCCCGCUGUUCUGACGGUACCCAAAGAAUAAGCACCGGCUAACUUCGUG
rnacentral:rRNA from 1 species